rnacentral:rRNA from 1 species
GACGAACCGUGCGAACGUUAUUCGGAAUCACUGGGCUUAAAGCGCGUGUAGGCGGGUGGGGACGUCGGCAUCUGAAAGCCCCCGGCUCAACCGGGGAAGGGGAUCCGAAACGCCCCGCCUGGAGGGACGUAGGGGGACCUGGAACUUCCGGUGGAGCGGUGAAAUGCGUUGAGAUCGGAAGGAACGCCCGUGGCGAAAGCGAGGUCCUGGACGUCUGCUGACGCUGAGACGCGAAAGCUAGGGGAGCGAACGGGAUUAGAUACCCCGGUAGUCCUAGCCGUAAACGAUGGGCACUGGGUAGGGGGCUCGCCGAUGGGCUCCCUGCCGUAGCGAAAGCGUGAAGUGCCCCGCCUGGGGAGUAUGGUCGCAAGGCUGAA